AAGAAUUCUCCGAGCUAUGAUCACAAAAGGCAUCAUUGAACCGAUAUCAGCCUCGUUCAUCAACCUUGUCAAUGCAGAUUUCACAGCUAAACAGAAAGGCCUCCGGAUUAGCGAAGAGCGUGUGGUAGCUGACUCGUCCCCUGAGUUCCCUAUCGAUUCAAUCCAGGUUCAGUUAUCCAACGUGGAUUCCAAAUUUGCAGCUGCUGUUUCAGAAAAUGGAGAGAUAAGCAUUGAAGGGAAAGUGAAAUUUGGGAUACCUCACCUGACACGCGUGGGAUCAUUUGGUGUUGAUGCGAGCCUGGAAGGGAACCUCAUCCUGUGCCGGCAGGUUGAUCAGCCUGGCAUGAUUGGCAAGGUUGGGAACAUACUUGGUGAGCAUAAUGUCAAUGUGAACUUCAUGAGUGUAGGAAGAACUUUCAGGAGGAAUCAUGGGAUCAUGGCAAUCGGCGUUGAUGAAGAACCAAAUCAGGAUUCCCUCAAGGAAAUAGGAAAGGUGCCUGCAAUUGAAGAGUU
rnacentral:lncRNA from 1 species